rnacentral:misc_RNA from 1 species
UUUACUUAUUUGUUUGUUUAUACUUAGACAAGUUCUUAACAAGAGUUUUGAUUGGGGCCACCGGCGAGCACUGACCAGAGAGUGUUUAACGACCCUCCGGCGGCCUCUUUCGAAGCGGGCUCGCCGAAGCAACAUUGGUAAGGUAGACAAAGGGUUGGAGGUCGGGCUCUGUAUAAAUCGAGUCCCUUACUCAUUAAUGAUCCUUCCGCAGGUUCACCUACGGAAA